AUUGAACGCUGGCGGCAUGCUUUACACAUGCAAGUCGAACGGCAGCGCGGGCUUCGGCCUGGUGGCGAGCGGCGAACGGGUGAGUAAUACAUCGGAACGUGCCCAGUAGUGGGGGAUAGCUCGGCGAAAGCCGGAUUAAUACCGCAUACGACCUGAGGGUGAAAGCGGGGGAUCUUCGGACCUCGCGCUAUUGGAGCGGCCGAUGGCAGAUUAGCUAGUUGGUGGGGUAAAGGCCUACCAAGGCGACGAUCUGUAGCUGGUCUGAGAGGACGACCAGCCACACUGGGACUGAGACACGGCCCAGACUCCUACGGGAGGCAGCAGUGGGGAAUUUUGGACAAUGGGCGAAAGCCUGAUCCAGCAAUGCCGCGUGUGUGAUGAAGGCCUUCGGGUUGUAAAGCACUUUUGGCGGGAACGAAAAGGACUGUGCCAAUACCACGGUUCGAUGACGGUACCCGCAGAAUAAGCACCGGCUAACUACGU
rnacentral:rRNA from 1 species